rnacentral:pre_miRNA from 1 species
CAAAUACUCCCUCCGUCCGGAAAUACUUGUCAUCAAAAUGGAUAAAAGGAAAUGUAUCUAGACGUAUUUUAGUUUUAGAUACAUCUCUUUUUAUCCAUU